UGGGGAAUAUUGGGCAAUGGGCGCAAGCCUGACCCAGCAACGCCGCGUGAGGGAAGAAGGUCUUCGGAUUGUAAACCUCUGUCCUUGGGGACGAAAAAAAUGACGGUACCCAAGGAGGAAGCUCCGGCUAACUACGUGCCAGCAGCCGCGGUAAUACGUAGGGAGCGAGCGUUGUCCGGAAUUACUGGGCGUAAAGGGUGCGUAGGCGGCCAGGCAAGUCAGAUGUGAAAUCCCCGGGCUUAACUCGGGGGGUGCAUUUGAAACUGCGUGGCUUGAGUGCAGGAGAGGAAAGCGGAAUUCCUAGUGUAGCGGUGAAAUGCGUAGAUAUUAGGAGGAACACCAGUGGCGAAGGCGGCUUUCUGGACUGUAACUGACGCUGAGGCACGAAAGCGUGGGGAG
rnacentral:rRNA from 1 species